UGAUGUUUCAGAGAUCUACCCGGAGCCAAAAACACGGCGUAGAACUGCAUAGCAAGGCAACAAUUCUCAUGAAAGCUCAGUGCCCCCCCACCGCUCCACCACCAAGCAUGGUGAACAUGCGUGCAUAAGCACAUACACGUGCGCGUGCAUUAACACAAAAGCUUCCGGGUUUGAAAAUGUGGUCACCCUACUUCAACCGCACGUGUCUUAAUUAUUUUCAGUUUCUUACAACCUAUUGAUAUCCUCAUCGCACGUAUUCUGGAACUUAAGUCAGGAUAUUAGCUGUUUUCAAGCGAAUAUACGAUGUAUGUUUUAAGGGCAGACGCCAUCUUUCGCGCACGGCCGAGGAGCAUGGCCAGAACAUUUCUGUCACGACCUGACGAGGUUGCAGGACACAGAGGUGGUGGAACAAACAGAGCCGCUACAGUACGGAUGGCGUUGAAAAACAUCUCAGAGAUUUAUUGAAGCUUUUCAGACGCUGUCGGGGAAAUCAGCACACAGCACAUAUGCACCAGCCAAUGAAAGUAGAGAGAAGCAGAUUGUUGGGUCUGAUCUCACACCCCUCCAGACCCCGGCACUUACCACUGACCACGAGGACGGGAGAGAGGGCGGGCAGUCGGGUGCCAUGCCCACACGAGCCCCAUCAAGCACCCAGACCGGGACACUAGAUUACAGGUCUGUCACGCCAGCGUCUUGGAAUGCGUUGUAAUGUCUUGGAGACCCAGUACGAAAAAGACCAAAUCCACAGGCAGAGCCGAAAAACAUUUGAGGCUGGCAUAUAUUAACACUCCGGGUGCCAUUUGGGUUUUAACGUUUCUUAUUAAUAAAAUGCUGGCCGUGAAAUGACCAGCCCUGUUUGGUUGGCGAUGACGACAGUGUCUGGGAGGGUGUAAUUCCCACCUCACAUUACCUUCUCCCUCUAAACCUUUUAUUUUAUUUUUUUCUCCAAAAUGCCCGCCUAAUGGUGUGGCUUUCUAAUAGGGGUUCCUCUGUGAAAUACAUUGUUCUGUUUCUCCUCAAAGGAGCCACAUGUGAUUACACAAAGCUGUUUGCUCCUGAGCAGCUCUACACACGUCAACAUGAGUUAUGAGGGGCUUUCUAACGAGCAUUACAUUUUACACAAGGAGGACAGGAGCAGUUGGACUAGUGCGCGACUACCUCUCAAACCAACAGGGAAAUUAGAAAGGCAUUGAAACUAAUCAAAUAUCAGAAAUGACCUAUUUUCUUCUCAACCCAUCACAUUGUUCUCAUAUUGUUCUAAUCUAAUCCCAUCAACCAAUGCUUGACCCAUUCUAUUAUAAGGCUCUGGCUUUCUUACUUAUACCCACAGACCGGUUGAAGGAUAAAAGUUAAUGACCUUAACAUCCCAUUUUCAGAGGCCCCCUACCUUUAGAGUGUCAUAUUUUAAAGCACCUUAGAGUUCAGUGGAACCAAACAAAUGAGCGAGCACCUCUGCCUAGGAAGACCCUAACCCUAACCCUAACCCUAACCCUAACCCUAACCCUACCACUUAAUAACAGGCCAGAGUGAUUAUAGGCCAUGGAUUCAUAACAGGACUUGAUGGCGAAAACCCAAGGACGGAAGAACAUUGGUAAUCAUGUGUGAUCAGUUCGCAGAAAAUAGGAUUAUCCUGUGGUUUUUCUGGUGCAUCUGAAGG
ensembl:lncRNA